UACGAGGGGGGCAAGCGUUGUUCGGAAUUAUUGGGCGUAAAGAGUUCGUAGGUGGUUCGUUAAGUCUGAUGUUAAAGACUGGGGCUCAACCCUGGGAGUGCAUUGGAUACUGGCGGACUGGAGUGCAGUAGAGGCAAGCGGAAUUCCCAGUGUAGCGGUGAAAUGCGUAGAUAUUGGGAGGAACACCGGUGGCGAAGGCGGCCCCCUGGACCGGUACUGACGCUGAGGCGCGAAAGCGUGGGUAGCAAACGGG
rnacentral:rRNA from 1 species